rnacentral:lncRNA from 1 species
UGAAAUGAAGGGAUUGGAACCAUAUGAUUGCAAAGAUUCUGAUCAGUAAUAGCAGCAUUCUAUGAUCCUACUGACAAAUCUAAGUUCUGCACCAUUUUUAUGGGUGAAGAGUGAGACAGGAAUCACUUUCACCACCUUCUACAGUCCUCUGCUCUGUCUAAUCACUUUGUGAAGUUGUCCAGUCUUGCGCUCACCUCCUUGCUAUCUCCUGCCCCGAUGUUUUCACCUUCUGCCUGGAGCAAUGUGGGGAGAAUGUAAUGAACACAGAUGAAGUAGGGAAAGGAGAUCUAGGGAAGCAUCUCUAGCAGGAGAUUAGAGAACUAGUGUGUUCCUCAUGCCUGAUGGUUCACACAACAGGUUAAAGGAAGCAUGAAGGUGAGCUAGACCACUGUGAUUAGAUAAAGAAAGCAGACUCAGUGGCCUCUACACCUGCUUUUGCAUAACGUGAGACAGACCCAGAUGCACAGAGAGCUCUGAAAUGUCAUGAAGGAAGCAGAUGAAGAAGACAGUACAGGACAGAGCCCUUUUCAGAGCAACGUGAUUAAUAGCUCACUUUCAAGAACAGCAUGCAGGGUGCAUGCUUGCCCACAUGACAAAAGAUACUCAGAUACAAGCCCACAUGACAAAAGAUACUCAGAUCCAAGCACUCGCGAACUUCCAGUGUCGGGUGGUAGGAGACUACUCAUCAUUCCUCCCUCUGCUGGCGAUUUCAUGAAUAAGCCAGGUGGACCAGCCUGUGUGAAAUGCCUAAAUGCAUAGAGACGCCAGGCUCCCAGCUAACCAUUGAGAGGGAAAUGUGGGAAAUUACAUUACAUAUCAGAGUACAGUCUGAACAGUUUCACCAUAGAAUGUAUCAUAGAAAGUAGUCUGAAAGCUCUUACCAAAGUGAUUUUGUCAUUUAUAAUAUGGUGUUCAGUAAUUUUUUUAUUUUGUAAUAAACUCUUCAGCUGCAAUGAUCUUUUUAAAAGUGCCUAUUAAUAAAAAAUUAAGUAUUGAAUUUCUACGUCUCAAGAACAUUUGUUAAGACUUACUUACCAUCCACCAUGAGGGCCAUCGUGAUAUCACUGACCACAUGAAAACCUGAAGACAAACCUAAGAAGCAUCCUCAUCUACUUCAAAAGUUAAUUAUUUUAAGACGACUAUGCCCAGAGAUGAAGAUUUAGCACUUUCAGCUGCAGAACAUGUG